rnacentral:lncRNA from 10 species
CCGGCCCCGCAGACCGGGGAGGAGGAGGAGGAGGGGAAGCCGGAGAGGGAGGCGCGGGGAGGAGGGAUGGAGCCGGGAGGAGGAAAUAAAUAAAUAAAACAAUCACCUCCGCGCCAAUAAGAGCGAGGGAGAGAGCAAGACGCGACCAGAGAGCCACCGGGGCCCGCUCGCGCGCCUCUGAGAGGCUGUCCGCGCGCGCGCGUGUGUGCGUGAGUGUGGAUUUGCCGGGACUGGAGCUGGAAAGUUCAAACUAAACGUGUUGCUCUCGCCGAGUGCCGAGGCCGCGGCGGAGGCUGCCCAACUUCCCCGGGCCAAGUGAGUGGCGUUGCCCAGCGCCUUUGGCGAGGCGGCGGCCGCUCGGCCCUGCGCCCGGCCGCGGCGGCGGCGGCUCCGCUCGCCCCGGGAGGGAGCCCGCGGCCAGGGCUGGACUCUCGCCCCGCCACCUCCACCGACUCUCUCCUCAGCCUCCGCGCCUGGCACCGCAGCAAGACUUGAAUGAAGUGAUCAUGUAAACUAGAGAAAGGAGAUUAAAAAUAACCUCUGGAUAUUCCUCUCAUGUGAUCUUUAUUCUGGAUGAAGCAUUAGGACAGCUAAUAGCCGUGUGUCACUGUUACAAUGUCUUUGAUCCUGUGAAUGGCAAGGAAACAUACAACCUCAGGGGGAAAUUCAGACAGAGAAGGUAUUUAAUAGAAAAGCCUCCAGACAACUGGAGUUUCUUUAGAUUUUGAAAUCAUAUGUAGACCUCUUAGCUGAGACUCAACCAGAAUCCACCAGUAAGGCAUUCAGCUUGGUUAUACCUGUGCUGUACAGAUGGCUACAUAUGUUGUCUGUCACCACAAUACACGUUCAAAUAUGAAUAUAUGUACAAAGAUUCAAAUGUCAAAUAUGUCUUAUAUUUUGACUUAUGAACUUAUUUAUUAUCUUACUAACUUGGACUUGUUAACCAGAG